rnacentral:rRNA from 1 species
GAGUUUGAUCCCGGCUCAGGACGAACGCUGGCGGCGUGCCUAAUACAUGCAAGUCGAACGAAGCUUUCUUUCACCGAAUGCUUGCAUUCACCGAAAGAAGCUUAGUGGCGAACGGGUGAGUAACACGUAGGCAACCUGCCCAAAAGAGGGGGAUAACACUUGGAAACAGGUGCUAAUACCGCAUAACCAUGAACACCGCAUGAUGUUCAUGUAAAAGACGGCUUUUGCUGUCACUUUUGGAUGGGCCUGCGGCGUAUUAACUUGUUGGUGGGGUAACGGCCUACCAAGGUGAUGAUACGUAGCCGAACUGAGAGGUUGAUCGGCCACAUUGGGACUGAGACACGGCCCAAACUCCUACGGGAGGCAGCAGUAGGGAAUCUUCCACAAUGGACGAAAGUCUGAUGGAGCAACGCCGCGUGAAUGAAGAAGGCCUUCGGGUCGUAAAAUUCUGUUGUCAGAGAAGAACGUGCGUGAGAGUAACUGUUCACGUAUUGACGGUAUCUGACCAGAAAGCCACGGCUAACUACGUGCCAGCAGCCGCGGUAAUACGUAGGUGGCGAGCGUUGUCCGGAUUUAUUGGGCGUAAAGGGAACGCAGGCGGUCUUUUAAGUCUGAUGUGAAAGCCUUCGGCUUAACCGAAGUAGUGCAUUGGAAACUGGAAGACUUGAGUGCAGAAGAGGAGAGUGGAACUCCAUGUGUAGCGGUGAAAUGCGUAGAUAUAUGGAAGAACACCAGUGGCGAAAGCGGCUCUCUGGUCUGUAACUGACGCUGAGGUUCGAAAGCGUGGGUAGCAAACAGGAUUAGAUACCCUGGUAGUCCACGCCGUAAACGAUGAGUGCUAAGUGUUGGAGGGUUUCCGCCCUUCAGUGCUGCAGCUAACGCAUUAAGCACUCCGCCUGGGGAGUACGGUCGCAAGACUGAAACUCAAAGGAAUUGACGGAAGGGCUG